GUGCUUGCUUCAGCGGCGCAUAUACUAAAAUUGGAGUGAUACAGAGAAGAUUAGCAUGGCCCUUCACAAGUAUGAUGUGCAAAUUCAUGAAGCAUUCCAUAUUUUU